CAAGUGGGUUGGGCAAUCGCGGAAUGUUUCGGCAUUCGGAGGAAAGUCCGGGCACCAUAGAGCAGGAUGCCAGUUAACGGCUGGGCGGUGUGAGCCGACGGAAAGUGCAACAGAGAAUAGACCGCCGAUGGCGCUUCGGCGCACAGGUAAGGCUGAAACGGCGAGGUAAGAGCUCACCGCGCAACUGGUAACAGUUUGUGGCUAGGUAAACCCCAUCCGGUGCAAGACCAAAUAGGAAAACGCGCUUUCGGGCAGGGUGCGGCUCGCACUUGUUUUCGGGUAGGUUGCUUGAGGAAUGCAGUGAUGUAUCUCCCAGAUGAAUGAUUGCUAACCUCUACGUUAUGCGUAGUGGAAACAGAACCCGGCUUACAGACCCACUUAGUUU
rnacentral:RNase_P_RNA from 1 species